UUCUUGUUUCAGUGUUCGUCUCUUAUUGUUCGUCUCGUUAAUGUAAGUACAGUAAGUGUAGUAGUAUAAAUUAGGCCAAGGCUUGCAAUGAGGAAGCCAUCACCAACAAAACAUUAACUUAAAUCAAGGUAGUGGCCUAAGUCUUCAGAGAAAUUUAAAAUGGCGUUCCUAAACAACAACAAAGCUGCCUUGUUAGUUCUCGUACUCUCUAUUUUUCUGAUCAUUACAAUUGCCGAAAGCAGACCAGUUUUCCAUGUUGCUACCAAAGCGAAAGCAGUUCCAGCAUGCGACACUGUGUUAGGAGUGACGAAAGGAGACACUUGUUUUGACAUCGCUAAGAGUUUCGAACUCACAACUCCCGAGUUUGAUGCUAUCAAUCCUAACAUCAAUUGCGCUGCAUUGUUCGUGGGUCAGUGGGUUUGUGUUGCAGGAACCGCUUGAAAACUUGGAUGACCUCACUCUGGGAGUAUCAAAUAAAGUGUAGCCGAACAAGGUCUUUGACCUAGCUAGUUUUUGUGCUGCAUCUUGCUUUCCAUUUUCUUGUUUUCCUGCUCAGAGUAUGAUUCGAUGCUCAAAUGAUGCAUCCGAAACCUUGCUUCUUCACUGUAAUCCUAAUAAUUACUUAAUGUACUGCUUGAAAGAUAUCAGACUACAAGCUAGUUUACUAUAUAUUGAUGCAUUCUAAACUCA